rnacentral:rRNA from 1 species
GUGAGGAAUAUUGCGCAAUGGAGGCAACUCUGACGCAGCCAUGCCGCGUGCAGGAAGAAGGCGCUACGCGUUGUAAACUGCUUUUAACCGGGAAGAAACCCCAGGACGUGUCCUGGGUUGACGGUACCGGAGGAAUAAGCACCGGCUAACUUCGUGCCAGCAGCCGCGGUAAUACGAAGGGUGCAAGCGUUAUCCGGAUUCAUUGGGUUUAAAGGGUGCGUAGGCGGAGCGUUAAGUCAGUGGUGAAAUCCUGCAGCUUAACUGUAGACUUGCCAUUGAUACUGGCGCUCUUGAGUGAGCUUGAAGUGGGCGGAAUGUGCCGUGUAGCGGUGAAAUGCUUAGAUAUGGCACAGAACACCAAUUGCGAAGGCAGCUCACUAAGGCGAUACUGACGCUGAGGCACGAAAGCGUGGGGAUCGAACAGGAUUAGAUACCCCUGUAGUCC